rnacentral:rRNA from 1 species
GACGAACGCUGGCGGCGUGCCUAAUACAUGCAAGUAGGACGCAGUUGCGAACGGGUGAGUAACGCGUAGGUAACUACCUAUUAGAGGGGGCUAACUAUUGGAAACGAUAGCUAAUACCGCAUACUAGUAGAUGGACCUUCGUUGUAUUAGCGAGUAGGUAGGGUGAUGGCCUACCUAGGAAACGAUACAUAGCCUACCUGGGAGGGUGAUCGGCCCCACUGGGACCGGGACACGGCCCCGACGCCUACGGGGGGCAGCAGUAGGGAAUCUUCGGAAAUGGGGGGAACCCUGACCGAGCAACGCCGCGGGAGUGAAGAAGGUUUUCGGAUCGUAAAGCUCUGUUGUUAAGGAAGCGGUACUUAACCAGAAAGGGACGGCUAACUACGUGCCAGCAGCCGCGGUAAUUC